GCUCUCUUCAGUGGAUUCUAACACUCAAAUGCAAGUACAAGCACAGCUCCGGUCUCGAGCACAUAUGGGAUCCCGGAGAAAACAACUGUAACAUCACUCGUAGAAGCGGAAUGGAAAUGGAUGGCAUGGGAAAAAUGGAGGGCGGCUCUGAAGGGGAGCACGUACAGGUGUCCCCUCACACCAAUGUAGACAGUCCCAGAUAGGGCAUAAGAUUGAGGGAAGAAGCAGACCCAGUCGGGAUGUUAUGACUGGAUUUUGGACAAUCUCUUAGUAACAUCUGAAGUCGAUGUCCCCUUCCACCAUGCAUCGCGCACAUAUUUCUUCUUCCUCUCAGGGUCAAAAUUUUGUGCCCUCUCAGUGAGCCUUCGCACUCCUCAACUGCAUGAUGCAUCGUCUUCAGAUUUGAGCCAUGCGAGAGCUGGAGAGGAAGGUUGAGGGUUGCUUCUCGUGUUGAAGGAAGUGGCAGAACCUGGUGCAAAGUCAGGCAGGCUAAACAUUAUGUCAUUGUUCACUGCUGCUCGAAGUAGCCGCCACCUCUCUGCCAUGAGGUGGUAGCUCAUCUUAAAUAUGAUGACGGUGAACAAUGACAGAUCAUGGUCUGCAGGUGAGGAAAUGGGGGUAUAUUGUGGACAGUAGUAAGUUAGCUAAGGACCAAUACCUCCAGUAGUUCGAUUUACUCAUUCACCAUAGAGUGUCUGACAAAUCGAUCAGGGUACGUUGUUCGGCUGAGGUGACUACCUCAAUGUACAAGGGCCUUUUAAAUUGAGGUAGUUAGUCAUCAAGGGGCACGACUGCAAAGAGUUUAUCAAGAACCACUAUAAGACUACGAAUUUUAGACGUGAAGAAGCCAGCAGAAUAUGAAGAUUCAUUUUAUUUCUGCUCUUUAUAGCUACUUCCACUAGAUUCCAACUUAAUAUUAUUGUAUUUGUAACAUGCUAACAUGAUAUGCUAUCUUUUGAGUUGCUUAUAUAAGAAUGAA